rnacentral:rRNA from 1 species
AGGGCAUGAUACUGGCUCAGAACGAACGCUGGCAGCGUGCUUUAUACAUGCAAGUCGAGCGAGAAAUUCGCCUUCGGGUGGAGAGUAAAGCGGCAAACGGGUGAGUAACACGUGGGUAACCUGCCUCUCGGAGCGGAAUAACGGCGGUCCUUCGGGACCUUUAGCGAAAGUGCCGCUAAUACCGCAUGCUGAUUCGACAGCACUUGGUUCUCGCAAUCUCUGUCGCUGUUGAGUUGAAAUGGUGGCUUGCCUUCGGGCAGGUUCUCCGCCGAGAGAGGGGCCCGCGGCCUAUUAGCUAGUUGGUGAGGUAACGGCUCACCAAGGCGAUGAUGGGUAGCCGGCGUGAGAGCGCGACCGGUCACACUGGGACUGAGACACUGCCCAGAGCCCCACGGGUCGCUGCAGUAGGGAAUUUUCCGCAAUGGGCGCAAGCCUGACGGAGCGACGCUGCGUGGAGGAAGAAGGCCUUCGGGUUGUAAACUCCUGUCAGGGGUUAUGAAUGCCGUACGGGAAAUCCGUUCGGUUGACAAAGGCCCCAAAGGAAGCCAUGGCUAACUCCGUGCCAGCAGCCGCGGUAAUACGGAGAUGGCAAGCGUUGUUCGGAAUUACUGGGCGUAAAGCGCGCGUAGGCGGCUGUGCAAGUUGGAGGUGAAAUCCUGCGGCUCAACCGCAGAAGUGCCCCCAAUACUGCAUGGCUCGAGGGCGGCAGGGGAGAGUGGAACUCUAGGUGGAGCGGUGGAAUGCGUAGAUAUCUAGGGGAACGCCGGUGGCGAAAGCGACUCUCUGGGCCGUUCCUGACGCUGAGUGUGCGAAAGCCAGGGUAGCAAACGGGAUUAGAUACCCCGGUAGUCCUGGCCGUAAACGAUGGGCACUUGGCAGUAGGGAUUCGUCUUUGCUGCCGUAGCUAACGCGUUAAGUGCCCCGCCUGGGUAGUACGACCGCAAGGUUAAAACUCAAAGUAAUUGACGGGGGCUCGCACAAGCGGUGGAGCAUGUGCCUUAAUUCGAGCAACGCGAGGAACCUUACCAGGGUUUGACAUGCUAGUGGUACGAACCUGAAAGGGUUAGGACCUGGUUUUCCAGGAGCUAGCACAGGUGUUGCAUGGCUGUCGUCCGUUCGUAUCGUGAGAUGUUGGGUUAAGUCCCGCAACGAGCGAAACCCUUGUCCCUAGUUGCUAACGCGUAAUGGCGAGGACUCUAUGGAGACUGCCGGUGUCAAACCGGAGGAAGGUGGGGAUGACGUCAAGUCAUCAUGGCCCUUAAGCUCUGGGCUGGACACAUGCUACAAUGGCCGGUACAACGGGAUGCCAAGCCGCAAGGCGGAGCGAAGCCCUUAAAACCGGUCUCAGUUCGGAUCGGAGGCUGCAACUCGCCUCCGUGAAGUCGGAAUCGCUAGUAAUCGCGGAUCAGCUACGCCGCGGUGAAUAUGUCCCCGAGCCUUGAACACACCGCCCGUCAAGCCACGAAAGUUGGCAGCGCGCGAAGUCGUGGGUCUAACCGCAAGGAGGACCGCGCCCACCGCGAGGCCAGCAAUCGGGACUAAGUCGUAACAAGGUA